AGGACGAACGCUGGCGGUGUGCUUCACACAUGCAAGUCGAACGGGGUAGCAAUACCUAGUGGCGGACGGGUGAGUAACGCGUGGGAAUCUGCCUUAAGAUGGGGGAUAGCAAGCCGAAAGGCUUAUUAAUACCGCAUAUGUACUUGAUCAGACAUGGUCAUUUAUGAAAGGAGUAAUCCGUCUUAAGAUGAGCCCGCGUCCGAUUAGCUAGUUGGUAGGGUAAAAGCCUACCAAGGCGACGAUCGGUAGGUGGUCUGAGAGGAUGAUCACCCACAAUGGGACUGAGACACGGCCCAUACUCCUACGGGAGGCAGCAGUGGGGAAUUUUGUGCAAUGGGCGAAAGCCUGACACAGCGACACCGCGUGGAUGAAGAAGCCCUUUGGGUGUAAAUCCUGUCGGCUGGAACGAAAAAAAUGACGGUACCAGCAAAGGAAGCAUCGGCUAACUACGUGCCAGCAGCCGC
rnacentral:rRNA from 1 species